UGUCAUUAGGCAAGGGAGAUGAUGAAUUUUUAACCUCCAAGGUUUGGCUAUUCAGUCCGUCUUCUAAAGAAUCCGACCCAGAAUCCGAACAAGAAGCAGACUCAAUGAAAGACACAUGAUUAAAUGAUGUCAUUAGGAAGCAAGAAGGCCGGACAUUAUGAACAACAAUUCCUUGAGAAUGUGCCACAUUUACAAUCUCAACUAUUUGCCUAAAUAUAUGUAAACAUUCAAAUUCAUCAAUGGAUCUUUCAGGUUUGUCCAACCACUGCCUCAAGCUAACAUCACCCCAUUCUA
rnacentral:misc_RNA from 1 species